rnacentral:rRNA from 1 species
AACAGGAUUAGAUACCCUGGUAGUCCACGCCGUAAACGAUGUCGACUUGGAGGUUGUUCCCUUGAGGAGUGGCUUCCGGAGCUAACGCGUUAAGUCGACCGCCUGGGGAGUACGGCCGCAAGGUUAAAACUCAAAUGAGUUGACGGGGGCCCGCACAAGCGGUGGAGCAUGUGGUUUAAUUCGAUGCAACGCGAAGAACCUUACCUACUCUUGACAUCCACGGAAUUCGGCAGAGAUGCCUUAGUGCCUUCGGGAACCGUGAGACAGGUGCUGCAUGGCUGUCGUCAGCUCGUGUUGUGAAAUGUUGGGUUAAGUCCCGCAACGAGCGCAACCCUUAUCCUUUGUUGCCAGCGAUUCGGUCGGGAACUCAAAGGAGACUGCCGGUGAUAAACCGGAGGAAGGUGGGGAUGACGUCAAGUCAUCAUGGCCCUUACGAGUAGGGCUACACACGUGCUACAAUGGCGCAUACAAAGAGAAGCGACCUCGCGAGAGCAAGCGGACCUCAUAAAGUGCGUCGUAGUCCGGAUCGGAGUCUGCAACUCGACUCCGUGAAGUCGGAAUCGCUAGUAAUCGUGGAUCAGAAUGCCACGGUGAAUACGUUCCCGGGCCUUGUACACACCGCCCGUCACACCAUGGGAGUGGGUUGCAAAAGAAGUAGGUAGCUUAACCUUCGGGAGGGCGCUUACCACUUUGUGAUUCACGACUGGGGUGAAGUCGUAACAAGGUA